GACGGAGGGGGCAAGCGUUGUUCGGAAUUAUUGGGCGUAAAGGGCUCGUAGGCGAUCGCCAGUUGACGUGAAAUCUCCACCGCUCACCGGGGAGGGGCCGUUGAAUACUACGGAUCUGGAGUUCGGCAGAGGACCAUGGAAUUUCGGGUGUAGCGGUGGAAUGCGUAGAUAUCCGAAAGAACACCGGUGGCGAAGGCGGUGGAUCUCGGGCCUGAACUGACGCUGAGGAGCGAAAGCCAGGGGAGCAACGGGAUUAAGAAACCCGUUGUACGUCCGAG
rnacentral:rRNA from 1 species